rnacentral:rRNA from 1 species
CAGUAGCCGCGGGAAUACGUAGGUGGCAAGCGUUGUCCGGAAUUAUUGGGCGUUAAGGGCUCGCAGGCGGUUUCUUAAGUCUGAUGUGAAAGCCCCCGGCUCAACCGGGGAGGGUCAUUGGAAACUGGGAGACUAGAGUGCAGAAGAGGAGAGUGGAAUUCCACGUGUAGCGGUGAAAUGCGUAGAGAUGUGGAGGAACACCAGUGGCGAAGGCGACUCUCUGGUCUGUAACUGACGCUGAGGAGCGAAAGCGUGGGGAGCGAACAGGAUUAGAUACCCCAGUAGUCCCUGUCUCUUAUAC